UAACCUGUACUCGUAACAUUCUUUUACUUCCUAUUGCAGCAGCCAAUAGGCUUUCUAGAGCAAGUUCUUGUCUUGAGGUGGAAGCCGUAGCUACCAGCAUGGCGCUUCUUCAACAUCGAGCUCGAGGUUAUCCGAGCGAGCUGCUCGUUCCGUGCACCAAGAGCAGUGACGUCACUUGCCAGCUCCUCCAGCAUCGGGCAGCCAUCAAUAAGGUGCUCUUAGACAUCGGGCUCGAGAUUCGUGAAGACCACCGACAGGUUGGAGGUGUCCGCAUGGCGGUGUCGCGCACACCCUUGUGUAAAAUCUUCUUCAGUUGGAAGCCGAUGGAGUGGCUCGAAACGUCGUCCAUGAACCUUGUCCACGACCUGAUUGCCAAUCACCGAUGCUUGUCAUCUUUGGAAAUGUACUCCACCACUCCAUGGCCCAAGUGCGUCCGACGAGCCCUGAAACGUUGUUCCGCCGUGAAGAGCUUGACUGUAUACUUGGUACGUCCUCUUGAAAACAGUGCAUAUACAAAAAGACGAAAGAGACGACGGGUAAUUCGCCACGGUUCCGACGCGAGGCUUCAUGAAGGCGUCUUCGCUCUCGUCUGUUCUUUGACGUCACUAGAGAAGCUCGCGUUCAAGGAAGCCAGGGAUCUGCAUUUCGCUUUCAUCGAGCCUGUUUGUGGCCAACUCCUGGACCAAUCCCUGAAGCAUCUGACGACGCUCGAUGUUAGCAACGUGCUAUUGGGACCAAAGAAUGCACUGGCGUUCUUCUGGGCGCUCACAGACAACCGAGGCCUGACGGACUUCUCUGUGAACUGGACUCUGCUCCGAGACGGCCUUACUGAGCCGGCUCAACUGGGAUCCCUGUACUUGCCCAGAAGACUGGCUGUCCUAAGAAAGCUCACGUUGAUUGAUCGGGAACACUGCUGGGACCGCGUACUGUGGCUGAGGCUGACUAAAACGUUCGCUGAAAUGGCCACAUUGGAAGAACUAUACGUGAAAAUGAAGAUGGCUGUUGAAAUCUACACACCAGUGAGUGAAGGCUUCGCUCAAGUCGUUCUUCGGUGUUCAAAGUUGCGAAGCCUGCAGCUGCCAACACCAAGCCGAAUGCUCACAACCCUGUUGCCGGAAUCCUUGAUCGACGCUUUGCGGGAGGCCCACAGAUUGCGCGACCUCUACAUCUCAAUAGCAGGCAUGGGCGAGACGCAGUUGGAUAGUCUAUACGCUGCUGUGCAAGACAACCGGACGUUGACGAACGUCGUCGUUUGGGACGGUAUACAUUCGUCAGAGUAUAUGCCCGACGAAGAGAUCCCCUCCAGACUGACAGAAGAGCAUAGUCUCUGGCAGAGCGUUUCCUUCGAGCAGGAGCUGCUCGUUUCUUCCGAGAAUUCGCGCAAACUGCUUGCAUUGCCGAAACUUCGCUCCUUGAAGUUCCUCCGGCUCCAAUUUCUGCUGCAAUUCUACCCGUUGGUCAAGGAAAAUGAUAUCGCCUGCUGCAAAAUGCUCUGGGUGCUUGGACCAUCUUCCGGGUCAUCUGCUAUACGACUGGGGAACAGGGCUUCGACGAAUGGCUCACCUGGUUAUCGCGUGCGUCCACACUAACGGACGUGACAGUCAUCGCCGUUCAUUUCAUAUCGAUCGGUCCGUGCGCUGACUGCGCACACAUGUGCGACAGGUUGGUCUCGGCACUUGCGAACAAUUCCAGCAUCGUCAAGCUGCGACUGGUCGGAUUCAAGUUGAAAACGUCGCAUUUGGAUGCGCUCUGCCAGACCGCCCGCGAUCAUCGUAGCCUCGGGGAGUUCGUGUUUACUCCGGCUUGCAUUGAAAUGAAAGUUUUCUGCCCCGCCAUAUGCAACGACAGACUCUCCGUAGGCUUUCGUGAGGCGGCAUUGGAGCUGCAGGACUUGGUGCGCCAGAACGCUUUCCGCAUGAGUGCCGCGGUCAAGUUUGUCCUGGGCGAAGAAAGCGGUGACGGAGCGAGCGCUAUUGAAGAACUGCACGACCAUCCGCUGCUGCCGGAACGAGUCCGCGACGACGCCGGUCUGACCGACGCAAAGGCCCAGGAGAAGGUCAAGCACGCGGUCUCGCGUGUGCGUAGCCUCGACGUCCACGACUUCCUGUGGCUGACGGGCGUGGUCCGGAAGCGGAGGGCCACGCGCCUAGACCACGACGCCCAAGCCCUCCACAUCCUGGACUUUCCCUUGGUGUGCUGGUUCUACAUACGCGAAUACGUAAACAUUGCGGAUGUAGCAUCACGCUGACAUGCGCUGGCGUGAACUUGUGGCUGCCGUAAUGUGUGAACGGGUACUUCGCGGAAUUCCGCGCUCAAUACUCAACGACUCGAGUCGCGCGGUGCAGUAGCCUGUAGCACGUGUGCAUACACAUAGUUUCCAUCAAAUCCAUUUCCAUGUUUCCAAUUCUUGGUUCCACCUGAGAAUAUACUUUACUGAUUUUUAUUACGGGGAUCACACGCGCACUUUUUAUCGCAAUCAGGCCCAUGCGGAUUAGACUCGAUCAGGACCAGAAGCUUGUCAUCAUCAUUCUCAGCCUGUUUUAUUACACUGCAGCACGAAGACCUCUGCGAAAGAUCUGUAGUUGAACGUAUCCUGUGCGGGGAGAUUCCAUUUUAUUCCUGCGAACGUCGUAGUUUCUACACACUGUCUAACUCUCUGUCAUCAUCGACCGCGUUUCCUAUCCCUUGGUAACCAUUCUGUUGCUCUUGCCGUAGACCGGUUGUGUGUUCUACGCAUUAAUGGAGAUGGAGAUGGUCCGAUUUUGUAUGCGAUCCUACGUCCGACGCGGCGGUGCGGCAGCCGCAACGGUGACGUUUUGUCGUAUAUGGCACAGUCGGAUCGCAUGCCCGGCGCGCAGCAAACCGGGCAGGUGUUUUCGUCUCCGCAUCCGACAUUCGGACGGUCGCAGCCAAUCGCAGCACGCGAGACUUGUGGCGUCACGCCGUUGGUGGCGCCCUUGGCACCACUUCGGUCACCGUGGCUAAGGCGAGUCGAUCCUGGAAGCAUUUGCCGGCAUCGCCACUUGCGACGGCUUGGUAAAGAUCGAGUAGAAUUUACUUGUGACGUGAAAUAUUUCCUGAUUGAAUAAAGUUAUGUUUGUGGUGUACCA
rnacentral:misc_RNA from 1 species